GAACAUUGAAGCAACAGUAACUUCCUACAGCCUCCAAAGUUUCUUUGUCAGAAAAUUUCUGGUUUUUUUUUCUCCCAGUGUUUGUCCCACUCUGACACAGCCACUGAGGAUGACAUACACUGCUGUUGGCAGCAGGGUGAAUUAGAGCUCCAGCGACAGCCACCCUGUGACUGAAAUGCCUUUGCAAGUUGGAAUGCUCGGGGAGUCACAAGCCUGGGGAAAGCACAGCCUGGAGAGGGGAAGCUGUGGUGAGGAGAGAGAGGCAAGGACAACUGGAAAACCUGACAAGAAACAUCAAAGGAGAAAUAUGAAGCUGAGAUUUGAAAAGCCUUGGGAUUUCCUCUUGCCAUGUUUGAAUACCGGAGUUUUGCAGCACCAGAAAUCUCUUCACUCUGAGAUACUUAUGCACAGUGAUCAGCUCACCUCUUAGUUAUGUUGUGUUAUAAUUUUGCCUUUAUUGUAGGCAGAUUUCUAAUCCUGAUUUAAAGAAAUGCAGAAUGAUAGAGAGGUCACUCCUUUCCUGAACAAGCAUUUCCAAACCUUAAUUACAAAAACCAAUCAACUAAACACACACACACACGCAAAAUGCCCCUGUAUGCCUGAUUUCCUGCCUCAUUUUAUCUCACUUUUUCUUUCAGCCUUGGGAUUUCCUCUUGCCAUGUUUGAAUACUGGAGUUUUGCAGCACCAGAAAUCUCUUCACUCUGACAUACUUAUGCACAUUAUAGACUGAACUGCUUGAAUUAUUCCAAAAGGCAUUAUUUCCAUCUCCCAGGUAAUAACUUUGUCAUUAGGAAGACCCAACAGAAGAGAGAAAUGUGUAGAUACUUUUGUAAGCACUAAAAAAGGUAAAUUCCAGAUCUAUCUUAUUUAACACC
rnacentral:lncRNA from 1 species